GAUUCAUGAUAACUUCACGGAUCGCAUGGCCUUGCGCCGGCGACGGUUCAUUCAAAUUUCUGCCCUAUCAACUUUCGAUGGUAAGGUAUUGGCUUACCAUGGUUUCAACGGGUAACGGGGAAUUAGGGUUCGAUUCCGGAGAGGGAGCCUGAAAAACGGCUACCACAUCCAAGGAAGGCAGCAGGCGCGCAAAUUACCCAAUCCCGACACGGGGAGGUAGUGACAAUAAAUACUGAUACAGGGCUCUUUUGGGUCUUGUAAUUGGAAUGAGUACAAUUUAAACCUCUUAACGAAGAACAAUUGGAGGGCAAGUCUGGUGCCAGCAGCCGCGGUAAUUCCAGCUCCAAUAGCGUAUAUUAAAGUUGUUGCAGUUAAAAAGCUCGUAGUUGAAACUUGGGCCUGGCUGGCAGGUCCGCCUCACCGCGUGUACUUGUCCGGCCGGGCCUUUCCUUCUGGAGAACCUCAUGCCCUUCACUGGGUGUGUUGGGGAACCAGGACUUUUAC
rnacentral:rRNA from 1 species